rnacentral:misc_RNA from 1 species
UUUCCGUAGGUGAACCUGCGGAAGGAUCAUUACAAAUCUGGAUGGCAGAGAGAGGAGGGGGGGAUUGAUUUCUCUUCUUUGCUCCUCGCCAUCAUCAUUAUUGGCACCGGGGCGCGAGCCCCGAUGUGUUAAUGUUUACGCUUGCAUGUUUGACAGAGUUAUCGGUGGUGACUGGAAAAUGACAACUUUUAACAAUGGAUCUCUUGGCUCUU